rnacentral:tRNA from 1 species
GAUAGUUUGGCCAAGUGGUUUAAGGUGCCAUAUUUAGGCUCUGGUCCGAAAGGGUAUGGGUUCAAAUCCCACAGUUGUCA